UCAUUUAAAAUGAAAUUACAAUUAUUUCAAUAUAAUAAAAAUAUUUAAUAAAAUAUUCUAUUUUUUUAUAAAACAAUAUUUAUAAAGUUACCAGUAAAUAAUUUUUGUAGCGUAAAAGCUUAAUAAAUUCAUACAUACUGUAAUACAGUAAGCUAGAGUAUUUAACUUAAUUUACAAUAACCAAUGGGCCCCUGAAUAACCAAAAUAAGAAAAGACUGUGAACUACAGUUUGGAGGAUGCAACUCCAAUGGUAGCCCUCGAUGAAAAACAGCUAUCUACAGCCUAUUUUGAGCCUGAAAUGGGUGGAAAUGAGGGUGGUGAGAUUAUAUAAUCUCAGUAAGUAAACAAACACUAUUCAAAUAUCUAAAGACAAGUAAAUGGAGACGAUUAAAAUAUUCCAUCUCAAUAUGUAAUUCAUAACAUAAAUAUUCAUUUCAUUUAAAUAAUCAACAUGGCUUAUGAGUAUCAUAAAAGCUUGGCUCCUGCCAAAAUCAUUCUCGGGAAUAACUUGGCCGAGGCAUUUAACCGAGUCCGCCAAGGUUGUUAAAAAGUUCGUAUACACGUAAACAUGUCUUUAUUUUAAAAACACAGCCGUUCCUUGGCAUUAGCGGAGUUCAUCAUCACGAGGUGGUUCAACGUGACAUGAACUCUAACCAUACCUCAGGAGAUACCCUACGUGCCUCUUCGACCUAGGUACAUAUAUAACUGGAUUUCGUGCCCCUCAAAAAGGCUGGUCCAUAGAACCCGCCCACUGCAGCAAGCUAAUCCCACCAUACAAUAAAAUUUUGACAGCAUGACAUGACUAAUAUUAUACUACCCAGCCUGUAAAUGUAAAACAGAAUAAUUCAUACAGUUCACAAAUCAUAAUUCCAGCUAGUCAUGCCAACACAUUAUCAUAAGCCAUCAAUUAGAAUCAUAAAUUACAACCCAUCAAGUGGUCUCUAGUUACUCUAUUUUCAAAGCCAUCAUUCAAUUUUAAGACAAUUUAUAAAAUCAUUUUAUUUAAACACAUUUUGUUUAUAAAACCUAAAAAUUAACCAUUUAAACUCAUUUUCCACAAAUUUCACAAAAUCGAAUAAAAAGACCACUUUAGAUAAUUAAAAUGAUGAUAAGGUUACUCUCUAUUUCGGGAGUCAAAUUUCUAGGGUACUCUGACUACCGAUCCUCGGGUACGAUUUCUUUGCCCUUAGCGGAGGAUUCACCAUAUAUACAUCAUACGUGACACGAAUUUCAAUAAUUUAUGUCAAUUUAUCAUAAACUAUUUCAGGCUUUAUAAAUCUAUAUGAAUGCACAAAAUGUGAUGCAAAAUGUCCAAAUAGCCAUUUAAAUACGGUAUUCGACCUAAUUCGCACUAUUCUCGGUAUAAUUGACGAAAACCUUCAAUUUAACUCCAAAUCGAUUUCUUUCACUUUCUACACUCCAAUUAUACUUAAAUACCUCAAUGACUGUGAAUAUGAUUCAAUUUAUCUAUCCGAACCAUAAAUCGCACAUGUAUAUACAUUAGGUAAAAAUUCAUAUUUUCAUGCCAAAAUUUCCCAUUAAAUUUCUAGCCUCACCAAUCAUUAAAUACCACCAAAAUAUCAUGAAAUAUCAUCAAUUUCAGCCUCAAUAUCCUCCUUAGAAAAUUCAGCCUCUUGUGGGUUUGUGAAGAACAAAGUGAUUCCUUGCUAGAUUUUCAUACUUUCCAUUACCAAACAACCAAAAACACUUAACUAGCUUGAAAUCUAGCAAAAUCCAUGCUCAAAACCUCUCCUCUCAAAUUCGGCCAGCAUGGGUUCAUCAUGCAAACUUGAGUUCUAAGCAUGGAAAAUGAAAAAGAAAGCAUGGGUAGUGUAAAUCACAAGAUAAAAUUAUAAAAUUUUACCUUUAUUAGCUUAAUCCCUUGAAAUCUCACACUUUUUCUUCAAUUUUCCCACCUAGGGUUUGUGUUCUUUCUUUUCUUUCUUUGUUCUUCCUUUGGUUCUUGUUUUGGUCGGC
rnacentral:lncRNA from 1 species